CCCAUAAUAGUUAGUGUUGAGGCAUUCUCUUGCCUUAUCAUAGCUUGUUUUGAUCACACCUUGAAUCAUGUUCAUCGCUUGGCCUGAGAGCUGUUUAAAAUUGCAACAGAGCAAUCACAAAUAAGUUCCUAUAUGUGUAUCCGAGAGCUGUUUAAAAAUGCAACAUAAUUACCCAAGUUGCAGGAUCUAUUUUCAUCGCUCUUAGGCUAUCUUCAUCAACAAUCACUCCAGAAGCGCCUGCAUUAUUUACC